rnacentral:tRNA from 1 species
AAGGUGGAUCUGGAUUUAUACAAGCUAGGCUAAAGAGGCAUCUAUUAUUUACAUUAAUAGUUUAUUUGUGCAAUUCAAAUUAGUUUGA